rnacentral:rRNA from 1 species
GAUGAACGCUGGCGGCGUGCCUAAUACAUGCAAGUCGAGCGAACAGAUGAGGAGCUUGCUCCUCUGACGUUAGCGGCGGACGGGUGAGUAACACGUGGAUAACCUACCUAUAAGACUGGGAUAACUUCGGGAAACCGGAGCUAAUACCGGAUAAUAUAUUGAACCGCAUGGUUCAAUAGUGAAAGACGGUUUUGCUGUCACUUAUAGAUGGAUCCGCGCCGCAUUAGCUAGUUGGUAAGGUAACGGCUUACCAAGGCAACGAUGCGUAGCCGACCUGAGAGGUGGAUCGGCCACCCUGGAACUGAGACACGGUCCAGACUCCUACGGGAGGCAGCAGUAGGGAAUCUUCCGCAAUGGGCGAAAGCCUGACGGAGCAACGCCGCGUGAGUGAUGAAGGUCUUCGGAUCGUAAAACUCUGUUAUUAGGGAAGAACAAAUGUGUAAGUAACUAUGCACGUCUUGACGGUACCUAAUCAGAAAGCCACGGCUACUACGUG